UACAGAGGAUGCAAGCGUUGUUCGGAGUUACUGGGCGUAAAGGGUGUGUAGGCGGUUCUUUAAGUUUGGUGUGAAAUCUCCCGGCUCAACUGGGAGGGUGCGCCGAAUACUGAGGGACUAGAGUACGGGAGAGGAAAGUGGAAUUCCUGGUGUAGCGGUGAAAUGCGUGGAUAUCAGGAGGAACACCGGUGGUGUAGACGGCUUUCUGGUCCGUAACUGACGCUGAGACACGAAAGCGUGGGUAGCAAACAGG
rnacentral:rRNA from 1 species